UACGGAGGAUGCGAGCGUUAUCCGGAUUUAUUGGGUUUAAAGGGUGCGUAGGCGGACUGUCAAGUCAGCGGUAAAAUUGAGAGGCUCAACCUCUUCCCGCCGUUGAAACUGGUGGUCUUGAGUGGAUGAGAAGUACGCGGAAUGCGUGGUGUAGCGGUGAAAUGCAUAGAUAUCACGCAGAACUCCGAUUGCGAAGGCAGCGUACCGGCAUCCAACUGACACUGAGGCACGAAAGCGUGGGGAUCAAACAGG
rnacentral:rRNA from 1 species